rnacentral:rRNA from 1 species
UACAGAGGGUGCAAGCGUUAAUCGGAAUUACUGGGCGUAAAGCGUGCGUAGACGGUUACAUAAGUCGGGUGUGAAAGCCCCGGGCUCAACCUGGGAAUUGCAUUCGAGACUGCGUAGCUAGGGUGCGGAAGAGGGAAGCGGAAUUUCCGGUGUAGCGGUGAAAUGCGUAGAUAUUGGGAGGAACACCAGUGGCGAAGGCGGCUCACUGGACCGGUUCUGAUGCUGAGGCGCGAAAGCGUGGGGAGCAAACGGG